CCUACGUGUGGCUGCAGUAGGGAAUUUUCGGCAAUGGGGGGAACCCUGACCGAGCAACGCCGCGUGAACGAAGAAGUUAUUCGUAAUGUAAAGUUCUUUUAACAGGGAAGUCAGAGAAAUUUGACGGUACCUGAAGAAUAAGCUUCGACUAACUACGUGCCAGCAGCCGCGGUAAUACGUAGGGGGCGAGCGUUAUCUGGUAUCGUUGGGCGUAAAGGUUGGGAAGAUGGCUUAGAAAGUAUUUUGGAAAAAUGCUGGGCUCAACGCAGCAGGGCAAAAGAUACUGUAAAGCUAGAGUAUGACAGAGGCAAGUGGAACUACAUGUGUAGCGGUAAAAUGCGUAAAUAUAUGUAAGAACACCAGUGGCGAAGGCGGCUUGCUGGGUCGAGACUGACAUUGAGGCACGAAAGCGUGGGGAGCAAACAGGAUUAGAUACCCGUGUAGUC
rnacentral:rRNA from 1 species